rnacentral:rRNA from 1 species
UACGUAGGGUGCAAGCGUUAAUCGGAAUUACUGGGCGUAAAGCGUGCGCAGGCGGUGAUGUAAGACAGUUGUGAAAUCCCCGGGCUCAACCUGGGAACUGCAUCUGUGACUGCAUGCUGGAGUGCGGCAGAGGGGGAUGGAAUUCCGCGUGUAGCAGUGAAAUGCGUAGAUAUGCGGAGGAACACCGAUGGCGAAGGCAAUCCCCUGGGCCUGCACUGACGCUCAUGCACGAAGCGUGGGGAGCAAACAGG